UGAGAAACCAAGUGACAUGGGAAGGGAUGUAUUUAUUAGAUAAAAAAUCAAUGCUUUUCGGAGCUCUUUGAUGAUUCAUAAUAACUUUUCGAAUCGCAUGGCCUUGUGCUGGCGAUGGUUCAUUCAAAUUUCUGCCCUAUCAACUUUCGAUGGUAGGAUAGUGGCCUACCAUGGUUUCAACGGGUAACGGGGAAUAAGGGUUCGAUUCCGGAGAGGGAGCCUGAGAAACGGCUACCACAUCCAAGGAAGGCAGCAGGCGCGCAAAUUACCCAAUCCCGACACGGGGAGGUAGUGACAAUAAAUAACGAUACAGGGCCCUUUCGGGUCUUGUAAUUGGAAUGAGUACAAUGUAAAUACCUUAACGAGGAACAAUUGGAGGGCAAGUCUGGUGCCAGCAGCCGCGGUAAUUCCAGCUCCAAUAGCGUAUAUUAAAGUUGUUGCAGUUAAAAAGCUCGUAGUUGAACCUUGGGCUUGGUUGGCCGGUCCGCCUUUUUGGCGAGUACUGGACCCAACCGAGCCUUUCCUUCUGGCUAACCUUUCGCCCUUGUGGUGUUUGGCGAACCAGGACUUUUACUUUGAAAAAAUUAGAGUGUUCAAAGCAGGCCUUUGCUCGAAUAUAUUAGCAUGGAAUAAUAGAAUAGGACGUUAUGGUUCUAUUUUGUUGGUUUCUAGGACCAUCGUAAUGAUUAAUAGGGACGGUCGGGGGCAUCAGUAUUCAGUUGUCAGAGGUGAAAUUCUUGGAUUACCUGAAGACUAACUACUGCGAAAGCAUUUGCCAAGGACGUUUUCAUUAAUCAAGAACGAAAGUUAGGGGAUCGAAGAUGAUCAGAUACCGUCGUAGUCUUAACCAUAAACUAUGCCGACUAGGGAUCGGGUAUUAACCUUGGCCGAGAGGUCUGGGAAAUCUUGUGAAACUCCGUCGUGCUGGGGAUAGAGCAUUGUAAUUAUUGCUCUUCAACGAGGAAUUCCUAGUAAGCGCAAGUCAUCAGCUUGCGUUGAUUACGUCCCUGCCCUUUGUACACACCGCCCGUCGCUACUACCGAUUGAAUGGCUUAGUGAGGCCUCCGGAUUGGUUUAAAGAAGGGGGCAACUCCAUCUUGGAACCGAAAAGCUGGUCAAACUUGGUCAUUUAGAGGACCGAAACC
rnacentral:rRNA from 1 species